GCCCGGAUAGCUCAGUUGGUAGGGCAUUAGGCUUUUAACUUAAAGGUCGAGGGUUCAAGUCCCUGUUCGAACG